rnacentral:rRNA from 1 species
UACGUAGGGCGCGAGCGUUGUCCGGAAUUAUUGGGCGUAAAGAGCUCGUAGGCGGCCGGUUGCGUCUGCUGUGAAAUCCCGGGGCUUAACCCCGGGCGUGCAGUGGAUACGGGCCGGCUGGAGGCAGGCAGGGGAGAAUGGAAUUCCCGGUGUAGCGGUGAAAUGCGCAGAUAUCGGGAGGAACACCGGUGGCGAAGGCAGCUUACUACAUGAAGAUUGACGCUGAGGCACGAAAGCGUGGGGAGCAAACAGG